CUGUUAAUUUUAAUUAGUUUUCACCAAGACUGAGUGACAAAUAAUUUCUUAAUCAGAACUACAAUUUUAAUAAAGUUGCCAUACUUUUGUGAUUAUGCUCCAUAAGUGUCUACUACACAAAUAUAUGCUGUUAUUUAUUUUAAAUUGCACGUUCGAUUUUUCGUUAAAUCUUUCAGCACUCAGUAGUUCGUAUGAGAUACCUGUGCUGUCCAGCCAUAAAAGCAACAUAAAUAACUGAUCAAUCUCAACAGAUUUGUGGCCCAUUUCUACUGUGUAUCAAAUGUAUGUUAAUAUGUUGUGACAAUGGUAAAGAUGGUUCUUUUUUAAUUUUCUUUUUUCCUGUCAGACUGCAGCACAUUAAACUUUUGACAGCAGAUAAGGAUAUAAUUCAGCCAACAACACACAGUAAUAAAGAAUAUUAGUAAACCAAUGGAGAUGUAUGUGGCAUCACUUUAAUAGGUAAACAUUUUGCAAUAACUGACAUAAUGAGACCGCAGAGAAAGAUAAAACUAGAGUGCUGACUCAUGUCUUGACCAUGUGCCACCAAGGAGGCAGCGCCACCAUCAGUCAGCACAAGGAACACAAUUUUCUGCAGUGUUGAAACCGACUCUGGUUUGUUUACCCAUUUACUGUUGUAUUACAUUACUUGGUGUAUGCCAGUCUCACUGCUGCCGUGGACAUGCAUUAUGGCUGUGUGUGGUGCAAUUUCCAAGUAUGUAUAGUAGGUUGAGUCAGGUCAACUGGACAUGUUUAGGUCCUUGAAGAUGUUCAUCCAGAAAAGUUUAAUCAGUUCUGCUAGUACUCACUUGUGUAAAGCAUCUUUGCACAAGUGAGUACUAGAACGUUUGUGGUUUAUUUGAAAAUUAAAGGUAUUCAGUCACUUUCCACUGUUUUCACCAGCUAUCAGUUCAUUUUGGGUUUUAAGCUGUAAGUCCUUUCAAUUGUCACAGAACAGACAAAAUUUAGUUUCUGCCUAAAUCAAAGCAUUAUAAUGUCAGUUUAUUUUUGAAGCGUGUUGCAAAAUUGCAGCUCAUUUUAAUGAUGGGAACAUAUUUACCUGGGGGCAAUUCCAUAGCAAAUAUUUUAUUUUCCGUUAAACGCCAUCUACAGGAGGAAACGUGUGUGCAUGCAUGAGGUUUGGAAAUGACCAGAAAUUACCUUUGAAUUAGUGUGAUGCGUGUUCUCGGGGCAUACACGCUAACAUCCGUAAGAUGUCUUUUUAAUCAUUGCACAGGUGUUAUCUGGUUUCAAAAACAGCAUUUUUAUAUUUAGAACUAGAAGCGUUUUUCUUGCUAACUUUUACAAAAUAUAUGAGAAACAUAUUAGAUUAUUAUGUUUGAUUCACACAUAAAUACAGUAUUUCAGAGCAUUUUCUGCCAUCUUGGUUUACUUUGUUCGAGCAACCAGCCAGCUGACGUCAUGCUGCUUUUCUCUACUCUGGCUGUCACCACGUGCUUCCCAGCAUCCCUUAGGGCCCCUUCACACAUAAUACAAUUGAAGCUGACUAGCCCAUGAAGGAGGAAUUGCAUGCCAUUCGUUAAAAAUCAGAGCUGCCUCUAACACCUUGCACACCUGUCACUACAACUAUUCAUGCAUACCAGCAGCCGACAGACAGUGCCCUGUAAGAGCCCAUUUGAUCCCUAUCGCGGCAGGUGUUGGCCAAAUUCCAUGUGACACACACGAACAUCUAACACCGCUCGCUGGACACUUACAAAAUGUGAGGCCAUUCGUGCUGUCAGCACAAAAAUGGUGAGCAGAUGACCACUAUUGUCUAAGUGCCUCCACCACCGUCGCAUUGCAAAGCAACACACACGUGCUGUGUGUGUGUAUCCCGUGUGUUGCAGAUCCCCCCCACUCACAACAUGCGUGUGUGUUGUGGACAUAAGAGCCCAGUGCUUCAUUCAUGUCAUGUCUGUACGUCUGUGACCAUGGGCCAUCUACAGAGGAACAGACGGUUCAUACUUGUAUUGUCCGCUCAAUAAGAGGGAUUCAAUAAAAUGUUGUGUUUUUUUAUGGUGUGUGGUUUAUUUUGUUUUCUCCACAGCAGAAGUGCGAUCUGGUGCAAGAUGUUCCAGCUGCUUGCACUGUAUUUGUGCACGCACACGAGCAUGCAUGAAACCAUCGCCGGUGUGUUAUGCACGCCGUGCGAUCAUGCGUCCCUCAUGACAGCAGGUGGAAUGUUUUGUGGUUCCCCAUUUUGUGUUUGGUUUGUGGAUUUUCUUCCGGUUUCUGCGUCUUUCGUGUUAUGUGUGAAGGGGCCUUUAUAGAAGUCGGGGGAACCCCCCCAAGUGAUCUAUGAUGUCACUAUGGUCACUACCAAAAGAAGUUCAAGGCUGUUUGUUUUUUAAAAUGUUUCCCUUAAAAGAAAAUAAUUAUUUUUUCCAGACAGCACAAAUUUUGUCAUAUUUGCAAUAUCAUAUCAUGAAUCCCUUAUUUAAAAGCUAAAGAAUAAAAUUUAUAGUGGUGCCAAAGAAAAUUCUGCUUAUGACUCAAAUCUUAAAAAGCCCAGUGGCCAUAUACCUUUAAUGUAAAAGUUUCCCAUUGAAACCAUAAUAAUUUACAGACUUAGUAUCGCUUAUUAGCCUGUUUUACAUCCUGUUUUAGUUCUAUGGGUUCGUAAACACAGUCCAUAUGAUCCUGUGUAUGCAUGAAAACUUCAAACCAAAAAGGACAUUAGUGUUUGAAAAAUACCAACAUGAAGCUCGAUAAGAACAUGUUGUAGUCUGAGAUCAAGUCUUAAGGAACAAAAGAAGGUAUCUGAUUCUAAGAGAGAUUAAACUAGAGUCACUGUUGUAUUGGAACAUGAACGUAUGGGUGCACUGAAGCAUUUAGCUAAACCUUUGGAUUCUUCUGCCACGCGUGUGAGUAUAUGACCAAAUCUAAGCAUGGAUUUGAUUUCUUUAUUAGUAGUGCUUUUUGUCAGGCUAUUGAAUAAUUAUUACACUGUACUGUUAUUUAUAUAAUUUUUUACAGGUUUCACUAUGUGUGGAAAUGAUACCUAUGAAUAUGGUAACGAAUGAAUUUUUUCAAAAAUUCUCAAUUUUUUUUUUUUAAAGGUAUGAGUUUUUUUAAUUACUGGUAUUGAUUGAUGAUGAAUUAAUUUAGCCACCCAAACAGUGAUGAAUAAAUUUGUUCUACUCUAAUUCUAAACAUUCAUGCAAGCAUAAAUAUUAUAAAACUGCAGACAUCCUUCUUUGCAGUUAUUUUUUUUCCAUCAACAUGAACUAUGAAACCUCGUACUAUAUUCAAGUCAAAUUAAAUGGCAUGAAUCACUAAUAAAUGCUUGUUUCAAUAAAUAAAUAAAAUAAUUUUCACUACUUGACUCAUAUAUGUAUGUGCGCAUUCAAAGUUUUUAAGUACUGGGUUGUAGGACUAAUGGAACUGUUUCAGGAUUAAUGUGAUAUUGUUUGUCCAUGAGAAAACACUGCAUUUCAUGUAUAAUUAAUAUUCCUGUAUUCAAUUUACACAUUUAAGUUAAACCGCUGCAAUUGCCACACACUAGAGAUAGGUUGGAAUACUAAGGAAAGAAAUGUAGAAUAAAUAUUAUUUAAUUUUUCUUCCAGUUUAUGGAUAUAAAUAAACUGAUUUUGAAAUUUUUUUUUGUUCCAAAUUUGCAAGUUUUAUCAAGUUUUGCAUGUACAGACAGACUUUUAUGCAUUACAUUGUUAUAACCACUGAAUGUUGCAAAGUCUAUACUGCAUAUAGCACUGGUUCGUGACUGGUUAGUUCAAGGAUAUUCUUAGUCUAAAUUGUUAAGUCAAAGUAAUGUUUUUAUCAAAUGCCUUUGUUCCCAGUUGAAACCCCACCCUUGCCCAUUCUCCAAUAUGGAUUUGCUUCAAGAAGCACAUCCAGCAUAAAACAUCUGCCAAAUCAACAUGCAGAGUCACUUCAGAUCUGGAAAAACAAGGGAGGUGCUGAAGGGACUUAACUUUGUGGUAAACACUAUUAAUUAACUUUCAUGAUUUCAUUAAGAUAAAGUUGAGGCCCACGUCAUUGUUGAGUGACUGAUUUGUACUGUUCCCAUUGUUUGGAAGGACUUUCAGUCCCAUGUGGUCAUGGUGGAUGGCUCCACAUGGUGGACCAGCUGUCAUACAAAGAGUCAGAACUCUAGUUCUUCUAUCUGUCUAUAUCUGAGACUCAUCACACCAGAGCUAAUCUCUCAUCAUUUGACAAGCUGCUUUUAAAUUAUUCCAGAAAAAAAGAAA